rnacentral:misc_RNA from 1 species
GAAAUGCGAUAUUUAAUGUGAAUUGCAGAAUUCAGUGAAUCAUCGAGUCUUUGAACGCACAUUGCGCCCCCUGGUAUUCCGGGGGGCAUGCCUGUCCGAGCGUCAUUGCUGCCCUCAAGCACGGCUUGUGUGUUGGGCUUCCGUCCCUGGCAACGGGGACGGGCCCAAAAGGCAGUGGCGGCACCAUGUCUGGUCCUCGAGCGUAUGGGGCUUUGUCACCCGCUCCCGUAGGUCCAGCUGGCAGCUAGCCUCGCAACCAAUCUUUUUAACCAGGUUGACCUCGGAUCAGGUAGGGAUACCCGCUGAACUUAAGC